AAUCUUAGCCCAUUUAACCUUAUUAUUGGUCCGACUAAAUCCUAACCUAACUCUACAUAUAUGUGCUUACCCUAGCCAUUUUUAGUUUAUGAUUUGUGUGUGGGAAAGGAUGAAAAACGUGUGCCAUAGAGAAGAAAAAAGGCCGCCUUUUGUGCUUCCAAAAACACGUGGAUUCAUCUUUGUAUUUCAGUCUCUUUUCUUGCCUUCUUCCAUUGUUUUUUCCCGAGCCUUUUUGCCUUGCAAAUUAUCACCGUUAUCUUAUCCUUUUGUGGGUGAGAUUGAGAAGCAACCGAAAUUAAUAUAUUGGUUGUGAGUUGAAACCAUUUGGAUUAGUUGAUUGUUACAGAAAGGUAUCGUGAAACUAAACCCGGAAAACACCGAUUUAAUGAUCCUUGAAGCAAGCUUCCACGACAAUUUGCAACUACCUCAAGUACUGUAGAUGUUUAUAUAUUGACUGAAUUGGAAGGCAUAUCUCCUUUGUGAUUUAAUGCAUAAUUUUCAAGUUCAAUGUUGUUGACCACCUCGAAGAUAAGAUCUUCAACAGCAUUUCUACCCAAUAUUCAUUUAGUAGGUCACCUUUUGGCCCCUUAUGUUUGCUAACUGGGCUAACUUCAUUAAAAAUAUUUGUCGAACUAAUUAAGUGGCCAAUUGUUUGAGAAGCAUGUUCACUGGCCAAUUAUAACUACAAAACAACUAACGGCAAACAGAUAGCAAUUUCAGUGUUUUUCCUUAACACCCACUCUCCUCUCUUGAUCUGCUGGUACUUAUGAAGCCUCUGAUGCUGUAGAUCAUCUCCUGCUGGUGCAAUUUCUUAUCAAUUUAAGCCACAUUACUAACCCCAGAUAUGAUUCAAUUUGUUAGCCUUAAUUUAUGAUGCAGCUGAGAAGCACCUUGGUAGGAUGAGGUCCAGAUUAUGUCAGGACAAGACAUGGAUGGAAGCAGCUUCAGGUGCCCAUGUUGGAAAAUGAGAUCAAGUGCCAGUCCAUUCAUUAGAAGUAGCUUCCAUUGCAUCAUAUUGUCCAAGAAUUGAUGCCCUUUCUUGGUGAAAAUGGCU
rnacentral:lncRNA from 1 species